rnacentral:rRNA from 13 species
AGCUGGGUUUAGAACGUCGUGAGACAGUUCGGUCCCUAUCUGCCGUGGACGUUGGAGAUUUGAGGAAAGCUGCUCCUAGUACGAGAGGACCGGAGUGGACGAACCUCUGGUGUUCGGGUUGUGACGCCAGUCGCAUUGCCCGGUAGCUAUGUUCGGACAGGAUAACCGCUGAAAGCAUCUAAGCGGGAAGCCCCUUCCAAGAUGAGAUCUCCCUGGACCCUCGAGGUCCCUGAAGAGCCGUUCAAGACCAGGACGUUGAUAGGUCGGGUGUGUAAGCGCUGCGAGGCGUUGAGCUAACCGAUACUAAUUGCUCGUGCGGCUUGACU